rnacentral:rRNA from 1 species
AUUGAACGCUGGCGGCAGGCCUAACACAUGCAAGUCGAGCGGAUGAAGGGAGCUUGCUCCUGGAUUCAGCGGCGGACGGGUGAGUAAUGCCUAGGAAUCUGCCUGGUAGCGGGGGAUAACGUCCGGAAACGGGCGCUAAUACCGCAUACGCCCUGAGGGAGAAAGGGGGGGAUCUUCGGACCUUACGCUAUCAGAUGAGCCUAGGUCGGAUUAGCUAGUUGGUCGGGUAAAGGCCUACCAAGGCGACGAUCCGUAACUGGUCUGAUGGGAUGAUCAGUCACACUGGGACUUGGACACGGUCCAAGCUCCUACCGGAGGCCGCAGUGGGGAAUAUUGGACAAUGGGCGACAACCUGGUCCAGGCCUGCCGCGGGUGGGAAAGAAGUCUUCGGAUUGUAAAGCACUUUAAGUUGGGAGGAAGGGCAGUAAGUUAAUACCUUGCUGUUUUGACGUUACCAACAGAAUAAGCCCCGGCUAACUUCGUU